GAAUAUUGCUAUGUAUUUUGUGAGCUUGAAGGUAGAUUUGUGGUUGCCUUUGAACUAGCCCUAGAAUUUGCAAGAGGAAAGUUCAAUAUGGGUGAGGGAUCUUCCAACAACAUGAAAAAAAUGUUUGAGGCCAUGAUGAAGAGAUUUGAUAUGAUUGAUGGUAGGUUCACAAACAUGGAGAAUAGGAUGCAAGUUCAAGAGGAAAAAUGAACUCCUUGGUGAGUGGAACUCCCCCACAUCAACAAGGUGUUGGAACUAGUGCUUCUCCAUCAACUCCUUCUACUCCUUUGGAUCCUAAUCUAAUACAACAAGGGAUCCAUGCUCAAGCAACUUAUGCACAAAGAGGGAUUCAAUUUCAUAAAAAUCAACCCCAAAGGCAACAAAGGAGGGACAAUCCACAAAAUCGCCAACCACCACAAGAAGAGCGCAUCAAUCUUGAGGAAGAAGAAGAUCAUGCUCAAAUUGCAAUAAGGCAACAAGCUUGGCAAGGUUAUCGACAACCAAGAUACAACCAUGAUGAGCAUGCAAGAGGGUUGAACACCAUCAAGAUCACUCUUUCACCUUUCAAAGGAAGUAGUGACCCGAAAGAAUACUUGGAUUGGGUAAUCAAGAGUGAAAGUAUCUUCCAAGUUAACAAUGUGACUAACGCCAUGAUGAUCAAGUAUAUCAUCACCCAAUUUGAGUUAUUUGCCUCUACUUGGUGGGAAUCUUUCAAGAGGAAAAGGGAAUAACGACUACUUGAUCCUAUUACUACUUGGGAUGAAAUAAAAGGUGUCAUGAUGAAAAGGUUAUGAAGAUGUCUUUCCCGAAGAGCUACCAAGGGAACUACCACCUUUGAGGGGAAUAAAGAAUCAAAUUGACUUUGUUUUGGGAUCUCAACUUCCAAAUCAGCGGCAUAUAGGAGCAAUCCGGAGGCUACAAAAGAGUUGCAAAAGCAAGUUGAUGACCUUCUUGAGAUAGUAUUUGUAAGGGAAAGCUUGAGUCCUUGUGUCGUUCCCGUGAUCCUAGUGCCAAAGAAAGAUAGAAGUUGGAGAAUGUGCGUUAAUUGUAGGGCUAUCAAUAAAUUCACGGCGAUGUUACAAACUCGAGGACGAAAUUUUUUCAAGAAGAGAAAGAUGAUCACAUUAUGCCUAUGCCUUCAAGACCGUUCACUAGGAGUCAAGCUAAGUACCUUCAAAUUAUUGGGAUGCAUUUGAUGAAGUUGGAAUAUUUGAAUGAUCUUUUGAAAAAGCCUAAUAGAGUCUACAAUUUCAUCAAAAUGACAUUCAAGGAUGGUGGCCCAAGUUCAUAUGAAGAGGUCUAAUUACAAGUGGAGAGCCCAAACACCUAAGGGUCUUUUUAGUCAUUAUAUAGACCUUAGUAUAAAUAGAAAAUAUUAGGUCAUCUUUAAUUUCUUAGACUAUAUUGAAUAUUGCUAUGUAUUUUCUGAGCUUGAAGGUAGAAUUGUGGUUGCCUUUGAACUAACCCUAGAAUUUGCAAGAGGUUUGUCUUCCUCUUGAGGAUUCUAUUAGUGUAGGUGCUUUUGUUGAUUGUAUUA